AACGAACGCUGGCGGCAGGCUUAACACAUGCAAGUCGAACGGUUGUAGCAAUACAGCAGUGGCAGACGGGUGGGUAACACGUGGGAACCUUCCUAGGGGUACGGAACAACUCAGGGAAACUUGAGCUAAUACCGUAUACGUCCGUGAGGAGAAAGAUUUAUCGCCCUUAGACGGGCCCGCGUAGGAUUAGGUAGUUGGUGGGUAAUGGCCUACCAAGCCUACGAUCCUUAGCUGAUCUGAGAGGANGAUCAGCCACACUGGGACUGAGACACGGCCCGGACGUCCUACGGGAGGC
rnacentral:rRNA from 1 species